rnacentral:rRNA from 1 species
UACGUAGGGGGCAAGCGUUGUCCGGAUUUAUUGGGCGUAAAGAGCGUGUAGGCGGCCAUACAGGUCCGUUGUGAAAACUGGAGGCUUAACCUCCAGACGUCGAUGGAAACCGUAUGGCUAGAGUCCGGAAGAGGAGAGUGGAAUUCCUGGUGUAGCGGUGGAAUGCGCAGAUAUCAGGAGGAACACCGGUGGCGAAGGCGGAUCUCUGGGCCUUACCUGACGCUGAGGAGCGAAAGCAUGGGGAGCAAACAGG